AAAAAGAGAGAAAAAGUAUUAGACAACAACAACAACAAUAACAACAAUAAUAAAUGGAUAUAUAUAGAUAAUGAUGAAAAUGAUGGUGAUGAUUAUGGUGUUGCUGUUCUUCACUGUUAAGCUUGCCAGGACAAAUUAUAAUGAAUUAAAUGCGAGCGGUAAAAGGGAAGGGUGUAGGGAAGGGGUGGAGGGAAGGGAUGGGGGGUGGAGGUGACAGGGGAGCAUGGGACACAUCUUCCCCCUCCCCCUCCCCGUCCACACACCUCCCACCCUGUAUCUGUUAUCGUUACUGAUUAAAAGACUGGGCAUUGCAUCUUCUGGGCGUGUCACGUGAUCAUUUACAGAUUUUUUUUUCUUUCUUUUCUUUUCUUUUUUUUUUUUUUUUUGAUAAUUCGUAAAUCGAAAGUCGAAGUUUUGUUUUAGUGCUUUCUGUGAUGUUUGCUGUUUGUUGAUGUGUGUUUGUUUAUUUAUUUAUUUAUUUUUUCGGGGGGCCAUUGUACUACUACUAUUACUACUACUACUACUACUGCUACUACUACUACUACUGCUACUACUACUACUGCUGGUGCUGCUGCUACUUCUACUGCUGCUGCUACUAUUACUUCUACUAACAGAAAAUAAUACUGCUACUACUACUGUUACUACUACGACUUGUACUACUACUACUACUAUUACUACUACUACUAUUACUACUACUACUGCUACAACUAUUACUACUACUGCUACUACCAGCGCUGCUACUACUACUACUACUACUACUACUACUACUAAUAAUAAUAAUAAUAAUACUGCUACUACUACUAUUACCACUACUACUACUAUUACAACAACAACAACAACAACAACAACAGCAACAAACACAUUUUCGCUUUACUUUAAAUGCCUCUACUGUUAGUUAGCACAAUUUAAAUCCCACGGGGUAUUUAAAUCACCACCCGGAUGUGAUAUAAAAACAACGGCGUAAAAAAAACUCUUCAGAAAAACAAACAAACGGCAACAAUUCCUGAUUUAACAAACCAUUAUAUUCCAACUCACCAAUAAUAACUAACUCAUAAAAAACACGACGAAUUUUUUGGCCACAUUGAAAUCAGGAGAAAUAUUUGGGGUAAAGAAAUAAAGGAGAAAAGGAAAAAGCUUGCGGGACCCAGACCGAGACUUCAGAGCGUUGGAACCAGGGUCCAGGUAGGACGUUCAGAGCUAGUCACGGAAUCAGGCAGGGAGGUCGCGCAAUUUCCGUCUCCCAUCCUGUCCUUUCAAAUGCCACCAAAACUCACCUUUUCUGCAAAGUUUCUCGCUUCAUCGCCUCCGUGCAAGGAGGAGUGCGCAGUUCAGUUCUUCCCUGUCGCAACGUUGAAGAAUAACUACACGUGUGGCCUGUCCUGAGUUCCCGUCAUCGAAGGAAAAAGGCACUGUCUCUUAACUUCACGACUCGGGCAGCAAGGAAUUCCACCACGUUCUGAUGAGUGGCGUGGUGAGUGAGUGAAGCGGCGAGCGAGUGAGCGAGUGGGAUGUGGAGAGGCCGUGAUGAAGACCCCGGUGCCUUGAAUUGGGCGUCGUGGAAGUUAACGUAGUACCGCCUCGUGCUGGCUAAGGGAAUAGAAAACGAGAGCUCGGGUGACCCAUUUUUAAGGGUGAGUGAUGCGUCUUUCCCAACCUUUUGUGCUCGUAAAGAAGGGUUAAGUGGCUGCUUGUGUACGAGAGAGAGAGAGAGAGAGAGAGAGAGAGAGAGAGAGAGAGAGAGAGAGAGAGAGAGAGAGAGAGAGAGAGACUUUUCCCUGCUCACAACAUCACUUGCUUCUCAAAUUCUAGGUCUUUCUUCCCAUUCUGAUAUCGUCUCCUCCCUCUCUCCCUCUCUCCCUCUCGCACUCCCUCUCCCUCUCCCUCUCUCAGUGUCCGUAAACUAAAUGUAGCGGCCGGACGAACACGAGGGGAGCACAUAUCAACCAUUUAUAUGCAAGUGUUCGGAACCUUUUGUGUCUUGCUAUUUAUUUUUAUUUCCUCUGACGCUUCAUUUUUUUUCUCUUUUUAUUUUGCGAUGGACGAACUGAGAGCAAGAAGAGGAAGAGGAAGAGGAUAGUCAUUACGCACCGUGGCAUUAUUUUGGCACUUUUUGGCACCUUCGGCCCUAUUUCUGGCACUCUCUGGCACUCGCUGUCGACACUUAUCCUAGGCGAGGGGAGAUUUUGACAGACGCUCUCUGCCCUGUGCUUGGCAAGAGUAGGGAAGGUCACUCGCUAAGAUGUGAAUAAAAGUGGCGAUUUUGUUAAACAUGUAUUGACUGCACUGAUGGUGGUGGUGGUGGUGGUGGUGGGUGGUGGUGUUGGUAGUGGAGGUGGUGGCGGUGGUAGUAGUAGUAGUAGUAAGGAUGUUAUUAGUAUGUAUUUUGUUAGGUUAGGUAGUAAGGUUAGGUAAUAGAGUGGGGACGACCACAGUCAUUGGCAAGGUCGGGUCCAGAGGUCUGCGUUGUGAAGGAUUGGUCGUAUUAUUCAUGAAGCAGCUCCGGCGCAGCGUGGAUGAAGGUCGUUUUUGUUAUUGUUAUUAUUAUUAUUGCUGUUAUUAUUAUUAUUAUUAUUAUUAUUAUUAUUAUUAUUAUUAUUAUUAUUAUUAUUAUUAUUAUUAUUAUGUAGUAGUAGUAUUAGUAGCAGUAUGAGCGGUAACAGUCAAGCAGGUAAAUGUAAACACGUACUUUACAUAUGUUACUAAGAGGUGCAUCAGGUUUUCCCUCUCCCUCUCUGCGAGGAAGCGAGUCCUUCCCUCACAGCUACACAAACACUGCAUUGGUAUGUCCGGGCGAGGCUUUGGCAGCUGCUGUGUAAAUGAAAACUCGUGUUAACAUAGUUUUGCAAGCCCCGCUUGAUGGCACGUUUGUCAGGGCACGUGCAAAUAGAUGGUAGAUAAAUUCAAACUUACAGUAACAUUAUUCUGCGCUGGAUUUGUAAUGGGAUGUCAGAGUAGAUAUGGAUAAUAGAUGUGCAUAUUAUUAAAAUUAACACGAGUACAGUACAUAGCGUUACGGUGGUAAUGUAUUGGGUGUGAGUGUGUGGAAAUAUAAAUAACAGUUUUGUGUAUUACUGUGUAUUAGGUAUUAACUUUGCAAUGGGUAUGUAAUGGGAUAUGGAAACGUAGAUAUAGGAAACGUAUAGAUAUUAAAGCACAUCAAAAUACCAACUUUAAAUUCCUAUAUACGUAACUGAUCAGCUGUAUACCCUUUGGAAUAUAGAGAACAAAGAAAACAGUAUAUAGUAAACUUUCAGAAUAUAUAGAAAACAUACAAAUUCAAAUACAGUAGAAUACAAACUUUUAAUGCCUGUAUGCACAUCUUCAUCUGUAUACCUUUUGGGAAAUGAGAACAGAGAGAACAAGACAUAAAAAAAAUAAACAUUAGAUAACAUUUCAACACAGUGUCAUGUAGUGGUGUGAACGCUGUCUCUUUCAAAUUAGAGUCCAUCAAAUGUUCUUGUAUGUGAAUUUCAUCUGUCGCUCACGGUUUUUUAUAGUUCGUUUAAAGCUUAGCCAUAUUUUGUUUAUUUUUUGUGGUUGUCAUUAAUCUUUAACGUCCCUUUGUUUGUUAAUGUAGGCGGCACGUACUAGCACAGCAAUGAUUCCUGUGAAAUGACGUAAAGUUUUGUGGUUAAAUGUAUUCAGCACGUAUUCUUAUUCAUUUUACAAGAACAUUUUAACUUAUUUUGCAUCGUUUACUUGUUGAUACAGAUGCACCACACUACUACAGCAAUACUUCCUGUGAAAUUAUUAGGGAAACUUUUAUGCUGAUAUUUAUCACGUUUGUUUGAAUUUUACAGGGAUAUUUAAACUUAUUUUCUGUAUAUUAAUUGCAUCUGUUGUGAUCAAUAAUCUAAUCUCGUGUAAUGUAUAGAGAGUAUGGGUGUAGUUGGGGUGGGGGCCACAGUGACGGGCAGGGCAGGGGCCAGUGACCUGUGUUAGUCUGACAACAGCACCGAGCCACGGGUGGAGGCUGGCUGAUUAGGGAAAUGUUUU